rnacentral:snRNA from 1 species
AUGCUCACUUCAGCAGCACUUAUAUUAAAAUUGGAACAAUACAGAGAAGAUUAGCA